rnacentral:rRNA from 1 species
GAUGAACGCUGGCGGCGUGCCUAAUACAUGCCAGUCGAGCGAACAGACGAGGAGCUUGCUCCUCUGACGUUAGCGGCGGACGGGUGAGUAACACGUGGAUAACCUACCUAUAAGACUGGGAUAACUUCGGGAAACCGGAGCUAAUACCGGAUAAUAUAUUGAACCGCAUGGUUCUAUAGUGAAAGACGGUUUUGCUGUCACUUAUAGAUGGAUCCGCGCCGCAUUAGCUAGUUGGUAAGGUAACGGCUUACCAAGGCAACGAUGCAUAGCCGACCUGAGAGGGUGAUCGGCCACACUGGAACUGAGACACGGUCCAGACUCCUACGGGAGGCAGCAGUAGGGAAUCUUCCGCAAUGGGCGAAAGCCUGACGGAGCAACGCCGCGUGAGUGAUGAAGGUCUUCGGAUCGUAAAACUCUGUUAUUAGGGAAGAACAAAUGUGUAAGUAACUAUGCACGUCUUGACGGUACCUAAUCAGAAAGCCACGGCUAACUACG